rnacentral:rRNA from 1 species
CUAACAAGGAUUCCCUUAGUAACGGCGAGUGAACUGGGAAGAGCUCAAAUUUUAAAUCACCUGGGUUUCCCUGGUGAAUUGUAAUUUGAAGAAAGUGUUUUGAUGUUCGGGUUUUAUCUAAAUCCUUUGGGAUGAGGUAUCAUAGAGGGUGAGAAUCCCGUUCGUGAUUGAACCUCGGAUGUCACUUAAUUCACUUUCUAAGAGUCGAGUUGUUUGGGAUUGCAGCUCUAAUUGGGUGGUAAAUUUCACCUAAGGCUAAAUAUAUGCAAGAGACCGAUAGCGAACAAGUACCGUGAGGGAAAGAUGAAAAGAACUUUGAAAAGAGAGUUAAACAGUACGUGAAAUUGUUGAAAGGGAAACGAUUGAAGUCAGUCAUGCUAGUGAGGAACCAAUUCGGUGGUUUUCUUCCGUGUGUACUUCCUCGCCUGGCAGGUUAGCAUCAAUUUCUUUCAUCAUUAAAUGAUCGGGGUAAUGUGGCUUCUCUUCGGAGGAGUGUUAUAGACCUUGGUACAUGUGAUGAUCGGGAUUGAGGAUUGCAGCGAAUGCUAUUUGGCUAGUCCCCUGAUUUCUGAUGUUCACCUCGCUUUCGACAGCUUGCUGACGUUGGUGGGUUCUGAUCAUCUAGAUGUUAGAGUGAACAUAUAUUCGCUAAGNAUGC